rnacentral:rRNA from 1 species
UACGAAGGGGGCUAGCGUUGCUCGGAAUCACUGGGCGUAAAGCGCACGUAGGCGGCUUUCUAAGUCAGGGGUGAAAUCCUGGAGCUCAACUCCAGAACUGCCUUUGAUACUGGAGAGCUUGAGUCCGGAAGAGGUGAGUGGAACUCCGAGUGUAGAGGUGAAAUUCGUAGAUAUUCGGAGGAACACCAGUGGCGAAGGCGGCUUACUGGUCCAUUACUGACGCUGAGGUGCGAAAGCGUGGGGAGCAAACAGG